rnacentral:rRNA from 1 species
UCAGACGAUGCGUCAUGCAUAUCAAUAAGCGGAGGAAAAGAAACUAACAAGGAUUCCCCUAGUAACGGCGAGUGAAGCGGGAAGAGCUCAAAUUUGAAAUCUUAAAGGGUUUCCCUUUACGAAUUGUAGUUUAAAGAAGUGUUUUCUGUUGAGGUUUUGGUAAAAGUUCUUUGGAAUAGGACAUCAUAGAGGGUGAGAAUCCCGUAUUUGACCUUUACUUUCAACUUUGUGAUACACUUUCAAAGAGUCGGAUUGUUUGGGAAUGCAGUCCAAAAUGGGUGGUAAAUUUCAUCUAAAGCUAAAUAUUGGCGAGAGACCGAUAGCGAACAAGUACCGUGAGGGAAAGAUGAAAAGAACUUUGAAAAGAGAGUUAAACAGUACGUGAAAUUGUCAAAAGGGAAGCGUUUGACACCAGUGUUGUUUUUCUGAAAAUCAAUUAAAGAACUGUUUAUGCUAAGUUGUUUAGACUUUAUCAGCUAACUGUUUAGUUUUGAGCUUUUCUUUAAUGCACUUUUCAGUUAACAAGUCAACAUCAAUUUCUUUUGCUGUAAAAAAGCUUGAGGAAGGUGGCUUGAGAUUCGUCUUAAGUGUUUAUAGCCUCUUGCCUAUGCAGUCGGAGAGAUUGAGGUCUGCAGCGUAGAUCCUUCGGGGCUAAAUGCAUUUGUGCUAAGUUAUAGCAUUUUAUAGACAACUUGUUGACUAUGAUUUGUCUUGUAGCUUACUCGCUUAUGUUAUUUUACCUACGCUUAGGAUGUUGAGCGCAUGUCUCUCUCU